rnacentral:rRNA from 1 species
UGUCUCCACCCGAGACUCAGUGAAAUUGAACUCGCUGUGAAGAUGCAGUGUACCCGCGGCAAGACGGAAAGACCCCGUGAACCUUUACUAUAGCUUGACACUGAACAUUGAGCCUUGAUGUGUAGGAUAGGUGGGAGGCUUUGAAGCGUGGACGCCAGUCUGCGUGGAGCCAACCUUGAAAUACCACCCUUUAAUGUUUGAUGUUCUAACGUUGGCCCCUGACCGGGGUUGCGGACAGUGUCUGGUGGGUAGUUUGACUGGGGCGGUCUCCUCCCAAAGCGUAACGGAGGAGCACGAAGGUUAGCUAAUCCUGGUCGGACAUCAGGAGGUUAGUGCAAUGGCAUAAGCUAGCUUGACUGCGAGCGUGACGGCGCGAGCAGGUGCGAAAGC